UACAGAGGUCUCAAGCGUUGUUCGGAUUCAUUGGGCGUAAAGGGUGCGUAGGCGGCGCGGUAAGUCGGGUGUGAAAUCUCGGAGCUUUAACUCCGAAACUGCAUUCGAUACUGCCGUGCUUGAGGACUGGAGAGGAGACUGGAAUUUACGGUGUAGCGGUGAAAUGCGUAGAUAUCGUAAGGAAGACCAGUGGCGAAGGCGGGUCUCUGGACAGUUCCUGACGCUGAGGCACGAAGGCCCAGGGGGAGCAAAACGGGG
rnacentral:rRNA from 1 species